GGGGGGGGGGGGGGGGGGGGCGGGGAGGGGCGGGGGGGGGGGGGGGGGGGGGGGGGGGGGGGGCUGAUGUGGGCGGGGGACGGGGGAGGAAGGCGGGGGUAACCUAGCUAGAAGGCGGGGAUAACUGCGGGAAACCGUAGCUGAUACCGGAGAAUAGUUGGAAGAGCAUGGUUCAACAGGGAAGGGAGGACUUGCGGGCCCGUAUAGAUGGAUCCGCGCUGCAUUAGCUAGUUGGUAAGGUAACGGCGUACCAAGGCAACGAUGCAUAGCCGACCUGAGAGGGUGAUCGGCCCCACUGGAACUGAGACACGGUCCAGACUCCUACGGGAGGCAGCCGUAGGGAAUCUUCCGCAAUGGGCGAAAGCCUGACGGAGCAACGCCGCGUGAGUGAUGAAGGUCUUCGGAUCGUAAAACUCUGUUAUUAGGGAAGAACAUAUGUGUAAGUAACUGUGCACAUCUUGACGGUACCUAAUCAGAAAGCCACGGCUAACUACGUG
rnacentral:rRNA from 1 species